UACGUAGGGUGCGAGCGUUGUCCGGAAUUAUUGGGCGUAAAGAGCUCGUAGGCGGUGUGUCACGUCGGCCGUGAAAACCUGCAGCUUAACUGUGGGCGUGCGGUCGAUACGGGCAUCACUGGAGUUCGGCAGGGGAGACUGGAAUUCCUGGUGUAGCGGUGAAAUGCGCAGAUAUCAGGAGGAACACCGGUGGCGAAGGCGGCUCUCUAGUACGGUACUGACGCUGAGACGCGAAAGCGUGGGGAGCGAACAGG
rnacentral:rRNA from 1 species